rnacentral:rRNA from 1 species
GAUGAACGCUGGCGGCGUGCCUAAUACAUGCAAGUCGAGCGAACAGACGAGGAGCUUGCUCCUCUGACGUUAGCGGCGGACGGGUGAGUAACACGUGGAUAACCUACCUAUAAGACUGGGAUAACUUCGGGAAACCGGAGCUAAUACCGGAUAAUAUAUUGAACCGCAUGGUUCAAUAGUGAAAGACGGUUUUGCUGUCACUUAUAGAUGGAUCCGCGCCGCAUUAGCUAGUUGGUAAGGUAACGGCUUACCAAGGCAACGAUGCGUAGCCGACCUGAGAGGGUGAUCGGCCACACUGGAACUGAGACACGGUCCAGACUCCGACGGGAGGCAGCAGUAGGGAAUGUUCCGCAAUGGGCGAAAGCCUGACGGAGCAAAGCCGCGUGAGUGAUGAAGGUCUUCGGAUCGUAAAACUCUGUUAUUAGGGAAGAACAAAUGUGUAAGUAACUAUGCACGUCUGGACGGUACCUAAUCAGAAAGCCACGGCUAACUACGUG